rnacentral:rRNA from 1 species
UGCGUAGGCGGUCUGUUAUGUCAGGUGUGAAAGUCCAUGGCUCAACCAUGGAAGUGCAUUUGAAACUGACAGACUUGAGUACUGGAGGGGGUGGUGGAAUUCCCGGUGUAGAGGUGAAAUUCGUAGAUAUCGGGAGGAAUACCGGUGGCGAAGGCGACCACCUGGCCAGAUACUGACGCUGAGGUGCGAAAGCGUGGGGAGCAAACA